rnacentral:rRNA from 1 species
CAGUAGCCGCGGUAAUACGAAGGGUGCAAGCGUUACUCGGAAUUACUGGGCGUAAAGCGUGCGUAGGUGGUGGUUUAAGUCCGUUGUGAAAGCCCUGGGCUCAACCUGGGAAUUGCAGUGGAUACUGGAUCACUAGAGUGUGGUAGAGGAUAGUGGAAUUUCCGGUGUAGCAGUGAAGUGCGUAGAGAUCGGAAGGAACAUCUGUGGCGAAGGCGACUAUCUGGGCCAACACUGACACUGAGGCACGAAAGCGUGGGGAGCAAACAGGAUUAGAGACCCCCGUAGUCCCUGUCUCUUAUAC